GUAGGUGGCAAGCGUUGUCCGGAAUUAUUGGGCGUAAAGCGCGCGCAGGGCGGUCCUUUAAGUCUGAUGUGAAAGCCCACGGCUCAACCGUGGAGGGUCAUGGAAACUGGGGGACUUGAGUACAGAAGAGGAAAGCGGAAUUCCAAGUGUAGCGGUGAAAUGCGUAGAGAUUUGGAGGAACACCAGUGGCGAAGGCGGCUUUCUGGUCUGUAACUGACGCUGAGGCGCGAAAGCGUGGGGAGCAAACAGGAUUAGAUACCCUGGUAGUCCACGCCGUAAACGAUGAGUGCUAAGUGUUAGGGGGUUUCCGCCCCUUAGUGCUGCAGCUAACGCAUUAAGCACUCCGCCUGGGGAGUACGGCCGCAAGGCUG
rnacentral:rRNA from 1 species